CUUUCAUAAACCUUUCUGUUUUGAGAAUCUAUGGUGCCUCCAUCCAGACUUUGACAUUUUAGUUGAACGAUGGUAUAAUGAAGCCUUUGUGCACUAUGAUGUUUUUGUCAAUAUAAUGACUAAGCUAUAUUUUCUUCACACUAGAUUGAAGAGUUGGAAUAAAUAAGUAUUGGUAUUAUAUUUGCUAUCAAUAAAAUAACUUCUUGAUCAAAUAGAAGCACUAGAUCUAGUUGAAGAAUUGAGAGUUUUAUCUACAGUUG
rnacentral:lncRNA from 1 species